GAUGAACGCUGGCGGCGUGCCUAAUACAUGCAAGUCGAGCGAACGGACGAGAAGCUUGCUUCUCUGAUGUUAGCGGCGGACGGGUGAGUAACACGUGGAUAACCUACCUAUAAGACUGGGAUAACUUCGGGAAACCGGAGCUAAUACCGGAUAAUAUUUUGAACCGCAUGGUUCAAAAGUGAAAGACGGUCUUGCUGUCACUUAUAGAUGGAUCCGCGCUGCAUUAGCUAGUUGGUAAGGUAACGGCUUACCAAGGCAACGAUGCAUAGCCGACCUGAGAGGGUGAUCGGCCACACUGGAACUGAGACACGGUCCAGACUCCUACGGGAGGCAGCAGUAGGGAAUCUUCCGCAAUGGGCGAAAGCCUGACGGAGCAACGCCGCGUGAGUGAUGAAGGUCUUCGGAUCGUAAAACUCUGUUAUUAGGGAAGAACAUAUGUGUAAGUAACUGUGCACAUCUUGACGGUACCUAAUCAGAAAGCCACGGCUAACUACGUGCCAGCAGCCGCGGUAAUACGUAGGUGGCAAGCGUUAUCCGGAAUUAUUGGGCGUAAAGCGCGCGUAGGCGGUUUUUUAAGUCUGAUGUGAAAGCCCACGGCUCAACCGUGGAGGGUCAUUGGAAACUGGAAAACUUGAGUGCAGAAGAGGAAAGUGGAAUUCCAUGUGUAGCGGUGAAAUGCGCAGAGAUAUGGAGGAACACCAGUGGCGAAGGCGACUUUCUGGUCUGUAACUGACGCUGAUGUGCGAAAGCGUGGGGAUCAAACAGGAUUAGAUACCCUGGUAGUCCACGCCGUAAACGAUGAGUGCUAAGUGUUAGGGGGUUUCCGCCCCUUAGUGCUGCAGCUAACGCAUUAAGCACUCCGCCUGGGGAGUACGACCGCAAGGUG
rnacentral:rRNA from 1 species